CUGGUCUUCCCGUUCAUCAGACAGCCGCUUCUUCUAGUACAGCGCCAGCCGCAUCCCCGAGGCACCAUGGUGAAACCGAAGUUCUGAAUAAACGGCUUUGGUCGGAUUGGGCGCCUGGUCUGCAGGGCUGCUUUUAACUCUGCCAAAGUGGAUAUUGUCGCCAUCAAUGACCCCUUCAUUGACCUCAACUACAUGGUCUACAUGUUCCAGGAUGAUUCCACCCAUGGCAAAUUCCAUGGCACAGUCAAGGCUGAGAACGUGAAGCUUGUCAUCAAUGGAAAUCCCAUAACCAUCUUCCAGGAGCGAGAUCACACCAAAAUCAAAUGGGGUGAGGCAGGUGCUGAGUAUGUUGUGGAGUCCACUGGCAUCUUCACCACCAUGGAGAAGGCUGGGGCUCACCUACAGGGGGGUGCCAAAAGGGUCAUUAUCUCUGCCCCUUCUGCUGAUGUUCCCAUGUUUGUGAUGGGUGUGAACCACGAGAAGUACGAAAACAGCCUCAGCAUUGUCAGCAAUGCCUCCUGUACCACCAACUGCUUAGCCCCCUUGGCUAAGGUCAUCCAUGACAACCUUGGCAUUGUGGAGGGACUCAUGACCACAAUCCAUGCCAUCACUGCCACCCAGAAG